CGACAAAGGUGUUGAACGACGUACAACACACACUCACACACGAACCUGCACAGGCAGACGUGGCCGGACCGUUUCGACGCGCUCAUGUCUUCUUGGAUAAUUUGUCGAUAUCUCGUUAAGUAAUUGAAAUUUAGAUCAAAUGCAGGAUUUGAGAAAAGAUCCCAGUAUCAGUAUCAAAGAAUUGCAGCAGGCUGCUGCUUGUUCAUUGAAUGGCAUGUGAAGUCCAACAUGGAAACCAUUGGUGGAGCUUAGCCGAAAAUAAUACUGCAGUCUUUUGAAGUAAUUGACUGUUGCCGGCUAUGUUCACUCACCAUGAAAGGAAGCAGCUUAAGAGUAUAUGUCAAGCUUGUCUAACCAUCUGCUUGUUUGGAGAAGAUAUUCAGUCCUGGUCUGGACGAGAUAUUAUGGUACCCUGAUCAUAGUAGUCUUCUUAAAGCAGGUGGAAAACUCCGGUUGAAGCAGGAGGUUGAACAUGUCUGCGAACACCCUCACCAUCUGCUUCCGCACGGAAUAUGAUGUGACAAAUAACGAACCUAAAGGCUGCUGACCCUGAAGAACAAUAAGAUAAUAUGGUUGUAAAGUGGACAAUUUCUGAUUUCAUGGUGACCAGAAAUAAUUACCUUCAUAACAGACACUUGGAUUCACACAUUCCGUUCUACUGUUUGAAAAGCCCCAGGAAGUGCAAUCAAUCAAUCAAACUAUUUACAUGUCUGGAUGAACAUGUAGUGGAUGAGCAGAAGCGUUCAACAGUCUGCUCUGAAAUGAAGAUCUGAGUAUUUUAAAAUCCUGAUCUCUUUGAAUCCACCUGAAUAUUUCCCAGGUAUUGCGGACUCAAAGGGAAUGGGAAAUGUCUGAAUAAAUGCUCUCACAUCCCAAGUGUUACCUGCCAAUAUUAGUUCAGGGAUGAAAACAGCUCCAACUUCCUCUCUAAGUCACAUAAUCUGAUUCGAAAACAUAUCACAUAUUCUUCAUUCUUAUUUCAAGGUUCUUCAUCAUCAUCAUUCAGGUGCCUUGCUGUUUGGCGUGGGCGAUCAUGUCUCUCCAUCCAUCACGGUCCCUGACCCUCCGAAUUGUAGUUGUUGCCUCCCCUGUUUCUAACCAUGAUGUUAUUUCAUCUAUCAUUUUCAUUCUCUGUCUGCCUCUGCUUCUUUUACCUUCCAGCUUUCCAGUUGUAACUAAAUGUUCUAAUGUCUCUGUUUGAAUUUUUACUUUUUUAAGUAAAGUACGCUUUAUUUUCAUUUUCUGUAGAACUUCUUCAUUGGUUAUCCUGUCCGUAUUUGAUAUGCAUAGCAACCUUCUGAGGAACCACAUCUCUGCUGCAUUGAUUCUUUUUUUUCAAGGUUCUUAACUUCAUUAUUAAGGAGUGCAGCUUUUUGGUAUGAUAUCUACCACCUUUUCAAAGGAAACUGGGAUAGCUGCUGAAUGCUGGCCAGUCUGAGUGUAGUUUCUGGUGUAUAAAUGAUCAAGAUCAGGUUUAAUAUCACCAGCAUAUGUUGUGAAAUUUUUUGUCUUUGUGACAGCAGUACAGUGCAAUACAUAAUAAUGGGAAAAAUGUGAAUUACAGUAAAUGUAUACAGUAUAUUAUAGAUAAAUUAAAAAUGUGCAAAAACAGAAUAAAACUGAGGUAGUGUUCAGGGGUUCCAUGUCCAUUCAGAAACGGGAUGGCAGAGGGUAAGAAGCUGUUCCUGAAUCAUUCAGUGUGUGCCUUCAGACUCCUGUACCUCCUUCCCGAUGGUGGCAAUAAGAACAGGCCACGUCUUGGGUGAUGGGGGUAUUUAAUGAUGGAUGCCACCUUUUUGAGGCAUCACUCCUUGAAGAUGUCCUGGAUACUAUGGAGGCUAGUUUCCAUCAUGGAGAUGAAUGUCCACAACUCUCUGCAGCUUAUUUUGAUACUAUUAAUUUCAGAUACUGAGAUAGCGCUUCCAGACCUGUGUCCAAAUUGCUGCUGUACAGCCUCAAAGAAAUAAUGUUGUUUUGAUUUCAAUGAAAGUCUUCUAUUCAUGUUCGCAAAUGCUGAAAUAUCACAGAAUUAAUGUGCUUAAUAUAUAUGUUAAAAUUAUGAAGUCUAAUUAUGAAUAAAUCAUUUUGUGAAUACUGUUAAAAAUUGAUGUUAAUAUUGCGACCUAUGACCGUGAAUUUAAAUCUAGAGCAGUGAUUGGUUUUAUCAACAUUAAACAAUUUUGCUCUCCAUAGAAACAAAUUUCUUUUUUAAUGUGUCAACAUAAAAUGACAGUGGUGCUAACCUUAUAAAGUGAUUAAACAUACUGAUGUAUUAUGAAAUUAUCUAUUGAUACAGCUUUGCUAAAUGUAUCCUUUUUACUUUUCCACAUAAGUGUGACCUAUAUUGUACAGUGUUGAGAAUUUUAUUUUGAAGUAGACCUCCCUUUCUGUAAUAAAUCACACUGAAAUGAUGCCGCUUUCCUCUUGCUGCUCAAUUCUCCAGCUGAAGACAGAAAGGAGAUCCUGCACAGUAACCUAAUUUCACUACCCAUGGUUUAUACUGCUAAUAAUAAACUGAACA